UUGUGUUAUGUUGGCCAUUCAUCUACAAAUGUGUCAGAAAAUGCAAGUUUGUAAGGGUAAAGCCAGUGCCGCAAGUUUUGGGCAAGGCCCAUCUAGAGUGAAACUUUGAAUUUAGUCAGACCUGUAUAGAAGAAUAGCAAUGAUGACUAUUAUGGUAGCCUACACUCAUAUCGAGAUCAAUGCAUGACGGAAAUAACUUUGUUUGGACUAACUGGAUAAUUAACCUGACCAGAAAGGGGGGUCCAGGUCCAUGUCCACCAGCGGGGACAGAUGACUCAUAUUUAGAGAGCGACCAUGUCAUUGCGAUACAGAAAGGAAAAGGACAAACUCCUCAUGGGAAAAUGGAAUUACAGUGCAGUCCUACACCUCCUGACAUUCCUGUCUUUUAGGCCACAAAUUCCCAGACAACCAUUUUGCAUGUAAAGACUUAUGCCAUGAACUGAUGCCUCAAUGUUGUGAGGUAGGCGAUGUGUGACAUUGGCGUCGAGUUCAACAUAGGCUUCACACAACAUAUCAUCAGGAUCACCGAUAAUCAUCAGGACUGGAAACUGCACGGUCAUCUUGUGGCUUCAACAUCAGCAUGAACUAGCCUGGCAAAUGGGAGACAACAAGUCAGCUAAAUUAAAGAACAAAUGGAAGACACAGCAUCCAAAUGAUUUUCCUUCAAGAAGGCCCACACUUUUGGUUCAGUUUUUCAUGACUUUACCCACAUCUCUAAAUGCACAGGUCCAGUUCAGCAUUUCUUCAAACAUCCAGCAAACAUGAAAGCGCAUCCUUUUUGUCAUCUAGGGAUAUACGCCCCCUAACCCGCUGACGUGUGGCAUAGGUCCAUCUGUUCAAACAUGCUUUUUGUGAUUAGGCAUCUGUGAACCACAAUGCAUAACAGAGACGCUAGAUUUUCUGAUGACAUGCCUCGAAACUGAUUUCUACCAAGUGUGUCUAUAUAACCAAGCUUUUCAUAUAUAAUAUAUAUUGCCCGCUUUGAGACUGACAUUUUGCAGGAUCUCUGUUCGUGCAAGAUUGCUGCCCAUUUCAGAUCAUUGAAAGGGAGGUGUGCAAAGUCUUUAGGAGGCUGCAUACACAUUCCGCUCCAGGACCUGACAACAUUCCAGGUCAUGUUCUCAAGGCUCCUGUACCUGGCUGAGGUCUUUAUGGACAUAUUUAAUCUUUCCCUUCUUAAGUCUGUUAUCCUCGCAUGUUUCAACAGGUGCACCAAUCCAGUCCCCGUGUUGCUUUCACCUCUGUUGUUCUAAAGUGCUUUGGGCGGUUAGUUAAAGAUUACAUUACAUCCUCCCUGUCUUCUACAUUACACCAGCUCCAGUUUGCCUAUAGGCCAAACAGGCAAUGCAUUUGCAUUUGCUUGGAACACUGCUCUCUCUCACCUGGAUAAGACAAAAAUAAAUAUGUACGGAGAUGCUCUUUAUCGGCUACAGCUCCGCUUCCAGGCUCAUCACGAAACUGUUCAAGAAGAGUAGCUGUGAGCACAUCCCACCUUGCAGGUGCAGGACAAAUGGAGAGUGUACUGUAUAGCUUCAAAAAGGAAUAUAGUGUUGCCUGCCUGUUAUAUAGUGAAUAUAGUGUUGCCUGAUGUUGCUUGUUUUUAAACAUUAAACAGGAGCAAAUAUCAGUGUUGCGGACAUUAACUUCCUUUAUCGCGAAACUGAACAUCAGUUUCUCCCUGUGCAGUUGGAUCCUUGACUUUGUGACUGAGAGGACACAUGCGUACGGCACGGCUGGGUCAUCAUCUCCUCCACUCUAACACUCAGCCCUGGUGCCCCGCAGGGAUGUGUGCUGAGCACCCAGUUGUAGGCUACUCGAUGUGCACAGUCAUGACUCUGUGGCAACUUGCACCUCAAACACCAUCAUUUGGCUUGCUGAUGACACCGCCAUAAUCAACUGUGUGAUGACGUGUCUGCUUACAAAGCAAUGGUGGCAACACGUCAGCAAAACUAAGGAGCUGAUCAUGGACGUACAGGAGACUGCAGGAAAAGGAACAUACACCCAUCUGGGGCACAGCAGUGGGAGGGACAGCUGGUGCAACACGUCAUCAUGCCUGAAGUCCUACAUCAGGAGCUCACUCAGCGAUCAGUGCCGGCCUGUCUGUGGAUCAUCAGCUUUCUGACUGACAGGCUGCAGCAGCAUGUCAGACUGGAGAGUAUCUCAUCUAUCCCCCGGUCCAUCGGUACAGACCCACAGGGGGGUGUCCUUUCCUGCUGCUCUUCUCCCCCCUCCUCCUCAACAUUUGACAAUUCAUGUAUAGCGUUCUAGAGACAUCAAAUAGCGUAAUAGUCACCAAAUCGAUAGCCAAGGAGCCAGAAGUGAACACACAUGGACAGCUAUAUAAACAAACUGUGCUUUCAUUAUACAACUAAACACGACACUUUUAGACCAUAACCCUUGAGCCAUAAUCCCUAUGUGAUCUCAAUGGUGAUGCAGCGUUUGUCUCAAACAGCAUGGCGCAAGCCUACCUGGUUACCUCCCAAAAAGGCCCUCAUGCGUCCACAAAUACUCGUUUGUUUGAGUUAAAGAAUACAGUAGAUUUACAAAAAUAGUUAACGUCCUAAAGCCUACCUUACACUGACAAGAUUUGGGAAAGAUUCUUGGAAGACUGUAGUCUUUUUACUAAUGCCCCUCAUUCAAGCUUUACUAAAAAAGACUACAAUCGUUUAAGAAUCUUUCCCAAAUCUUGUCAGUUUAAGGUAGGCUUAAGUUAACACUGACUUCAAAAAUGUCUAAUCAAAAUUGUGGAUGGCUCCAUUAAUUCCAAGCAUCUAUUCAAUUCAAAAUAAGCCAAGCCAUUCCGCAUUUUUUCGAAGAUAGUUACCAAAAUGUACAGUAGACUGUAAUCACCCUCUCAAGCACGCUCCUCAGUUUUCCUUGUCUCUGUCGCUCUCACUUCUCUAAUUGGCGAUGUGUGGCAGGCGUCGAGUUCAACCUACGCUUCACACAACAGCAGGAUCACCGAUCACCAAUCACCAAGAUUGGACACUGAAUGAUCAAUUGGUGGCUUCAACAUCAGCAUGAGCCUGGCAAAUGGCAGACAACAAAUAGGCUUAAUUCAAGAACAAAUGGAAGACACGACAUCCAAAUCAUUUUCCUUCUAGAAGGCUACACUUUUGGUUUACACUGUUUUUCAAAAUUGGUAAAACUAUAAACACAAAUCUCUAACUACAUUCCCAAAACUGAAUGAUCGUCUAAAAAUUGUACCUGUGCUCACGAUGCAGUCAAAAUGAAAACACUAGGGCCAGGAAAAAUGUUCAUUACAGUUUUUCUUGUUUGCUAUGAUGCAGCAGUCAACUCAAACUCCAAAUUUUUCAAAACAGUUAACACACAGGCCGAAACAGCAGCACUCAUGGUCAAAAUGACACAUCUUGUUUACAAAACAUUUAAAAUAUGCAGCAAAGGCACAUUUUGCCUUCAAACACAACUUGCAAACACGUGUAUGAGCUCUCCAUCUCUUUCUUCAGCAUCUCCUCACGGUGAUAUCAAUAAGCACAUAUCAAUAAACAUAUUGCUAUUGUUAUUAAGUAUUUUAAAAUAAAAAACAAUGUACAU